rnacentral:rRNA from 1 species
GACGAACGCUGGCGGCGUGCUUAACACAUGCAAGUCGAGCGGUAAGGCCCUUUCGGGGGUACACGAGCGGCGAACGGGUGAGUAACACGUGGGUGACCUGCCCUCAGCUCUGGGAUAAGCCUGGGAAACUGGGUCUAAUACUGGAUAUGACUCCACGGUGCAUGUCGUGGGGUGGAAAGCCUUGUGCGGCUGAGGAUGGGCCCGCGGCCUAUCAGCUUGUUGGUGGGGUGAGGCCUACCAAGGCGACGACGGGUAGCCGGCCUGAGAGGGCGACCGGCCACACUGGGACUGAGACACGGCCCAGGGCUCCUACGGGAGGCAGCAGUGGGGAAUCUUGCGCAAUGGGCGAAAGCCUGACGCAGCGACGCCGCGUGAGGGAUGACGGCCU